GGGGUUGUGGCUCAGUGGUAGAGCGCACGCCUUGGACGUGUGAGGCACUGGGUUCAAUCAGCACUA
rnacentral:tRNA from 1 species